rnacentral:lncRNA from 1 species
CAAUGACCCAGUGAGAAGCUGACACGGAAGCAACGGAAGAUGAAUCAGGAGGUUUAAGGGAACGAUAUGCAGCCCCGCCUAAAAAGUAUGCAUUCAUUCAUUCAGUCACUUCUGAACGAGCCUUUACAACAUGCCAGGCACUGUCGGUCAUCAGAGAGAAAGUUGUGCAGGAGAGAACAGGUCCCUGUCCUCAUGAAACUGACAUUUCAUUCCAGCCAGGAAACCAAGCACACAAACAAGACCAAAGAUCCAUCCUGAUCGCACCCAGACAGGCACCGGGUGCCUCUUCCACAGCUGGAGGCAGAGAGGUGCCACCAACUCCCGUACUCGCCUUGAGAUUUGCCUUCUGGCUGGUGUGCUGCUGGUGUGGGGCCAGAGCUGGAGGAAGUAUCUGCAUGGAGCCUGCACUCAGCCUAAGCCUCACCCAGGAGUGCCAUUCACAGUGACUUGCCCAAGGUCAUACUCGUCAUGGACCCCAGCCAUCUCCACUCAUGCUUCAUUCCUCAGCACACAGAGAUCAUGCAGGACAUGAUCUUCGGAACAGGUGUCCCUGCCGCUCCCCCCCGAAGAGAAGCUGCCUGAGAGUGGGGUCACAGCUUACUCAGCUCUGCCUGCAAUGAGCACUUCACAGGCUGCUACUGGAUUGGACCAAAAAUGUCAUCACCACCACGUGUCCUAUUUGGUCCAGCGCAGCCUGCCUGAGUCUCCAUCAGCACUGGGGAGCCGGAGCGGACAAGAAGACACAGUCCCUGCCCUCCAGGAGCUCACGUCAGGGAAGGCACUAGACACGUAAACAAAGAGGAGAAACCAAGUGUGGUGGGAGCCAAAGGAAGCAAAUGCCAGUGCUGAACUAGUGAUGGGAGGAGGGGACUCAGGUAUCAGGAAACCAUGGGAGUUGAGACUCACAGACAAGGUGAGUGACAGAGGACCGGCGGGAAGGGAAAAGGGAAGAGAGUGGUGUGGCCAGGACACGGGCCAUUGUAUGGUCACAAACCAUGCAGUUUGGUAUGGCUGGAACACCGGGUAUGAGCAGAAGGGGACGCAGGGGCCUGACCACUCACUGCGGCAGAGCAACACAGCAUGAUCCAUGCUGUCUUCAAUUUACACAGAAAGCCCGGUGUUGAAAAAUUCAACAAUUAACCUUCCAUGCAAUUGUAAAAUACCCUGAAACCAACAAUUAUGACGACUUUAUAGGUGUUUUCUUCAUCUGAGAAAAACACAAGCGGGGGGAGUAAGUGUCUGGCUUAAACGGUAGCAAGGUUAUGCGCUGCUGCCCUGGCGAACGAGUCGCUCACAUGCUCAACAACACUGUUAGUCCUGGGUGACAAACAGAACCAGGCUUCCAGCUGGAGGUUCCAGGUGGAGAACGAGUCGCUCUGUGCUCAGCUCUGGGUAGUGCUUACAUCUGUCUCGUCCUUGUCUUGGCUCAUGGUCCAUCCUGCAGAAAGCUCCUUGUGCCAUCAGGGCAGCUGGAUGGACCCUUCUAAUGGCCUUGGUCCCCCAUUCUCCUCUGCCACCCCAAAUCUAGCCACACAUACAUUGAUGUCGUAUGACUUCUAUGGAGCAAGACAAGCAAGUAGAGUUUCUUUCAUUUAUUCGGAAAGCUUGUGAGGACUGUCCACUAUGUAACACAAAAGAUACUAGGUGCUAUAGGGAAGCAGAGAGAGCGUGAUGGCCCCACACUUUAAGAACUCACCAUACGGCCGGUGGAAGCAAGAUCUGCAUGUGGCAAAUUAGCAUCCACCCCCAGAGUUAAUUGUCAAAGAAUAAGGCUGCAGGGCAGGGGUCACAGGGGCUAAGGUUUCCAGGCCUCUACUGUCCAUGACCCCUAGAAAGAUGCAACAAACCAACCACUUUGUGAUACCAGCUCCAGGCCAGAGAGCAAAGGCUCUGGAUUGACCCAACCCAACGCUAGUGCUGACAGUCUCACAGUGUCCCAGAAUGCCCCAGUGUCCUUCCUCCUCCACACAAGUCACAUAAACCCACUGUUGUCCCCUCCCAGCACUGCAGUUUGAGCUCUGGGAACUGUGUUUAAUUGCAACUCCAACACUUAAGUCGCUCUUCAACUUGGGAAUUUACGUAACCUUCUGAACUUUAGUUUCCUGAUCUAUAAAAUGCAGAAUGAUCUGAGCCAUCUUGUGGAGUUGCUAUGAGAACCCAAUGAGGUAACGUAUUUUUGAAAUACCUACGAGAGUCUAGCACGGUAGAGAUGUCCAAAAAAAUGACCCCAAUGGUCAGCCCUUGUAAUAAUAGCCUUAGUCCUUCUCUCUUCCAUCAUGCCCUAGGGCCUCAAUACAAGAGAGGUAGAGACCUAGACACAAGCUCAGGGAGGCUAAGAACAGAAUGUCAGUCCCUUGUAGGAUGGCAACUGGAAGGAGCUGCGAGAUGUGAAUCAGACAGUCAUGGCCCUAUCUCUGCUACUGUUACCAGUGCUGUGCCAAGAGGCAAGUCACCCCGCCAUCCUGGGCUUCAGUUUCUUCCCCCACUAGACCAGGGAUAAUAAUUACCAGCCUUCUUUACAGGAGCAGCCUGGACAAAAAAAAAAAAAAAACACCAUAACCCAGGUGCAAUGGCAGAUGCCUGUAGUCCCAGCUACUCUGGAUACUGAGGCAGGAGUUCGAGGCUGCAGUGAGCUAUGAUCACACUUGUAAAUAGCCACUGCACUACAGCCUGGGCAACACAGCCAGAGCUUGCCUCUUUAAAAAAGUAAUAAUAAAUAAGACACAUCCCUGUCUUUAGUCUAGUUAAGAAGGAAGGCGUAAAGAGGAAGAGAUUAAACAAUAUAAAGUUAAAUUAAUAGAAAGACAAGCAUUGAAAAGAAUACAAACUCAGGAACAAAUUUAGCAAAAGAAAUCCAAACCUUAGGCUGGGCAUGGCGGCUCACACCUGUAAUCCCAGCACUUUGGGAGGCCGAGGCAGGCAGAUCAUAAGGUCAGGAGUUCGAGACCAGCCUGACCAAUAUAGUGAAACCCCC